GAAGAUAGAAAUGGAAUGCACAAAAUUGAAAGUCAAGAAAGGUCAAACAUAUUUUUGGUAUUUUUUGGAAUUAAAAUAAUACAUAAAAUAAAAUGAACAAAUAAAGGUCAAACUUCAAAUCCAAUUCAAAUCAACUUGGAUAAGUCCAAUUGGAUCAUCAUAAGUCUAACAUGGUCAAAAAAGGUUUGACAAAUUUUCUCAUCAUUUUUUGAAAACAGAAACUAAUUUUAAACAAUUAAAAAC
rnacentral:lncRNA from 1 species